UAGCUACAUGGCCCCAGUACUUCUGUGACAGGUUGAAAACACUGCAGUAGUUUUCCUUUGGAAAUGGUGCCAUUGAGAACUUGAGCCCCAUGUUUUUGCAGAAAUCUCAAUAGAGCCAGUUGCCUGUGAAAAGAGGAUAGAUUUGCACCGUGACUUUCUAACUACUCUUUUUUUGGAGCAUGUUCAGGAAACUUUGUGAGAUGAGCCUUGCAGAGUUUCAUGAAAAUUUCUGUCCCACAGGAGCAGAGCAGUUUGGCUAAGCAUGAGGUUCAUUAACUUUUGGGUGACCUUUUCGCAGUAGAUACAUGGCUGUUGCAGAAGCAGUGGGAGAGCUUAGUUGUAAAUAGGAGGUGACAUACUGAGUAACCUGGGAUUCCAGGAGCAGAGGAACAGAGCAUGCAGUGCUACAUCUGGUUACGUCCUCCCUGGGGAGAGCCUCACAGAUCUCAUCUUUUGGUAUGGCUUGACAAUGAUACGUGUCUAGCUAUGCACCCCAGUCCUUCUUGGGAAUUGAAGUAAAGAAAUAUAUUUGUCAUCCUCUAGUCCUAUAGCAAGAAGUUUUGAAGAGCUAUCUUUCAUCAGUGAAAUUCCACUAAAGGCAUGGUAGGUAUGUGUAAAGCCUUUGCAGGUUUCAGGUUGUCCCGUAGAGUUCAGAGGUCUGCCCUAACAUUUGGUGGAGA